GACGAACGCUGGCGGCGUGCUUAACACAUGCAAGUGGAGCGACGAACCAGGGCUUGCCCUGGGGCAGAGCCGCGAACGGGUGAGUAACACGUGGGUAACGUGCCCCGAUGAUCGGGACAACCCGGGGAAACCCGGGCUAAUACCGACUGUGCUCCUCACACAUCAGUGGGAGGUGGAAAGGAAGCGUCGGCCUCCGCAUCGGCAGCGGCCCGCGGCCCAUUAGCUUGUUGGUGAGGUAACGGCUCACCAAGGCGGCGAUGGGUAGCUGGUCGGAGAGGACGAUCAGCCACACUGGGACUGAGACACGGCCCAGACUCCUACGGGAGGCAGCAGUGGGGAAUCUUGCGCAAUGCGCGAAAGCGUGACGCAGCAACGCCGCGUGGGGGAAGAAGGCCUUCGGGUUGUAAACCCCUUUCAGGAGGGACGAAGCCCGGACCGUUAAUAGCGGCUCCGGGUGACGGCACCUCCAGAAGAAGCCCCGGCUAACUACGUGCCAGCAGCCGCGGUAAGAC
rnacentral:rRNA from 1 species